GAAACACAGACUGCAAUGCCACAUGUUUGCUGUUCCCAAAAGAAUAUUUCUGACUGCAUUGAACAGACCCAAGUAUCGUUUCUUAACAGAAGACCCAAGUGUCUAGAGCAGUCUGUUGGUGAGUGAUGCCCUCCCAGUUGUGUCCUUGCUCCCCUCUGGAUUCCUUCUCCUGGGACCUGCUCUCUCUUCCUUCGGGUUCUCCCCCGAAGGUGGGUCAUUCCUUGUUGCUAUAGCAACCCUAUGUCCCUAGCCCAUUCAGCCAAGCAAGUCUUAGCCUUUUCUCCAUUCUCCAACCCCUCCAAUUCUAGACCCUAUUCUAUAUUUUCUUUAAAAAUGACUACCAGGCUAUACAAGGCCCUACAUUUAAUUCUGCAGCAUGAAAAAUAAUAAGAAAAAAAGAAAGAUACCAGUCACUCAUUUUUCUUUUCUGCUCCAUGAUGACAACUUUGUGGAGGGAGAGAAGACCACACAGGCUAGAAACCCCCGCAGUGUCCGGAAUGGUGGCUGCUGGGCCCCCUCCUCCUCUGUCACCCCCUCAGGAGGACACCUGCAGUGCUUUCCACAGUGCUGGAAACUCAGGCCCCUGUGGACCUCAGAGUCAUCUUUGAGGCUUGGUGAACUUCAGAGGUGGAAGCAGAGUAUCACCGUGGCUAAAAGGUGCCCUGCCUGAGUGCCCUGAUGCCAGCUCCACAGGAGGACCUCUGGUGGCCAAGAACAGGAGGAAAGAAAGGAGAGAGAAGCAGUGGCCACACACAGCAGGACCUUACGGACUCCAGCUGACCAGGAGUCCAUGAUGCAGGGUGGCAGAGCUGACACUGCCCAUCAUGUUGGCCUCUUUCAACAUGAUGCUACUGAAGUGUUACCGUUCAUCCUGCCCAUCUCCAAAGCUCCAUGACUGCUUGUCCCAGGCUCCAGGUCUCUCCCAGAUCUGCAUGCAGUUGGAACUUGUUUCAUAUCUUCAAUAUUCAUCAGAAGGUCAAAAGACAUGAUUACAAGAGUGAGAAGGUGAACCUCAGAGUACGAGAAGACACUGGCCACAUGAAUCACCAAGACUUUUAUCCAGAACUGAUAAAGAACUCCAAAACAACAACAACAAAAAAUAUUGGCUGACAUCGCUAAUCCAAAAAUCCAAAAUUCAAAAUGCUC
ensembl:lncRNA